rnacentral:ncRNA from 2 species
UUGUUAUCAAGAAAGGCUGAGGGAACAGGCCCGAAGACGCCUUAGCAACCGCUCUGCCCGGCGCAUGUUAAAGUAUACUGUAAUAAUUUAUUUGAUAUGCCGGGGAGGAAGGUGCUACGUCCUGCUCCAGUAGUCCGGAGGAAGAUAAAUA